rnacentral:rRNA from 1 species
CCUACGGGGAGCUGCAGUGGGGAAUAUUGGACAAUGGGGGCAACCCUGAUCCAGCCAUGCCGCGUGUGUGAAGAAGGCCCUCGGGUUGUAAAGCACUUUCAGUGAGGAAGAACGCCUGGUGGUUAAUACCCAUCAGGAAAGACAUCACUCACAGAAGAAGCACCGGCUAACUCCGUGCCAGCAGCCGCGGUAAUACGGAGGGUGCGAGCGUUAAUCGGAAUUACUGGGCGUAAAGCGCGCGUAGGUGGCUUGAUAAGCCGGUUGUGAAAGCCCCGGGCUCAACCUGGGAACGGCAUCCGGAACUGUCAAGCUAGAGUGCAGGAGAGGAAGGUAGAAUUCCCGGUGUAGCGGUGAAAUGCGUAGAGAUCGGGAGGAAUACCAGUGGCGAAGGCGGCCUUCUGGACUGACACUGACACUGAGGUGCGAAAGCGUGGGUAGCAAACAGGAUUAGAUACCCGAGUAGUC